UCAAACCCGACAUUAUAAAACCAAUUGCUUGUGUAUUUUUGGGUGGAGAUCUAUGCUGAUUGUGUGCAGUAUCCAUCUCCCCGUGCGUGUGUUCAAUAAAAUAAUUGUUUGACCAAAGUCUUCUGGAUCAUUGUUGUUUCGUUCUUAUCCUCAAUAUUUUUGAAUUAGGGACAAGUCCCAAACACAUCUUAUUAUCACAUCCUCACAUAUCACAAACUUACGUUGCUCAUUAACGCACACUUCUCACGGAAUGACCAAUUCUCUGCUGGUAAUCUGGAGCAGAAAAGCUCAGGUGCCUUGCCCACGUUUCUCCCUGCCCAUGGUCUCUCUCAUACAAAGCGGUGGGGUGACCUCUACUGGCCACUCUCAAAAACUACAGGUGAACAACUGAACAGAAUAAAACCGUAACUACGGGGCCUUUUGUACAUUCACUCUCAAGGUUAAUAAAUUCUGGGACAAGCAGAAACUGUAUUUUUAGCGGUGCAUUUUGUGGCAGGCCAGACUGCUAUAAAAUGCACUCUCCUUGUAGCACCACUUUAUCUUGGUUCAGGAGAGAUGUCCUGGAUAUACAUGAUAAUGUAACACGGGUGUUUUUGUUUGUUCAUGUUUAGCGCGUUGGGUUGUGUUUUUAAAGCGAAUGUUACGUUUUUAAAGCAUUUUAUGCGACAGGUGUGUGUAGCACUUGUUACACAUCUCAAUGGGAGAGCCAUAGUCGAGACCACACCUUUACCUGACGUACAACGUGACGUAUGGCGCACGCUUUCAAAACAACAAUGGCGGAUAGAAGAUGCUGGUUGCCAACCACCAUUAAAUAACAACAAGAAGAAAAUAUUGAUCUGUUUUUCUUAGUUGUGCACGUUUAAGACGCGAUUCAGACUCAAACAAAGCUGCAAAGCAGGAGAACAACAUGACCAUCAAUUAUUCUGUGCCACAGUCCCAGUUCGCUGCAGCACAGAGUGAUGAUGAGAUGGUGGAAGAACAAAAGAGACAAUUUACGGACCGUUAAGAUGUGCAACUUAGAAGCAGUCAGAGGUAACUGGAUGGAGUUCAAUCAGGUUAAAUGCACAGUUGAUUGGAUUAUAUCUGAAGAUCGUAUGCUAUUCAUGACAACUCUGCUAGACUCCAAAUUUCUCAUCCAAUUAAUGCGGGAGUAUCUCAAAGUAAAUGAAACAACUAAACUUAACACUUUUCCCCUAAGACUGACUGACAUGGGAAACAUUAAAGUUGAACUGGAACAAGCUAAUCAGUCUGAAGGAAUCACAGAACCAGAAGGGAGACCACUGAGGAGGAGUUCUGAGGUCACCAGUUCACUGGUGACCUCAGCUGUCAAGUUCCUGGAUGUGGCAAACAUCUACCAGGAUGUCCCUUGAAGCAGAGAGCAACCUGCCAAGCACCCCAAGGCUGAUUAUGCUUGGACAAAGUUUAAUGACCGCCACCUGCUGGAUGGUGAGUGCAGAGGGGCGUGUAAUUGUUGAGCUGGACAAAGAGAACACCUUUGCUGAUGCUGUCAGUCUUCUUUGGUUCAUUCUAUGUAUUGAACCUGGAAUACCAGGAGUCAGCGUGUGCAACAUUGGAACUAAUUCAGAGGUAUGUUUGAACAGUUAGCUAAUAGUGAUAGAUGAUGAAUAAAUUAUCCGUAAGUAACUCAUUAUUUCAAAUCACAACUCAAUGUUACUGUAUGUUACUAUUUAUUGUGGCAUGUUUUAAGGUUUUUUGUAAGGAUAAACCCUGAAGAGGGAACAAAAUGUACCUCCAAGGUUGGGACAAGCAGAAAGACUGGGACCACUGUGAAGCGAAAGAUGAUCCAUGGCCCAUGCUUUCUGGACAUUUGCACAAGACGAACACCAAUGAAGACAAGCUCUCUCGCCAUCUUGCAAGAAGCUGUCUCUGUCCAAUAGGUUUUUUGAGUGCAACAGCUUUGAUUUUUUUUUUUUCCUUCUUUUACCCGUUUGUUAAAAUUUAUUUCAGCUACUUACACUUUAAUUGUCACAUGUAUUGGCUCACCCUACAAAUCAAUGAACUCAGUCCACAAAGCAAGGUCAGGGUUCAGUGCAGGUCAGUCAAGUUCCUUCACACCACACACGCUCAUCCAUGUCGUUGUGGACCCUGCUUUGUGCAUUGAUUUGGUGGUGUGAGCCAGUAUUUUGGACAAAGUGUAUAUAAAGGCA